rnacentral:rRNA from 1 species
AGUGAACGCUGGCGGUAGGCCUAACACAUGCAAGUCGAACGGCAGCACAGUAAGAGCUUGCUCUUACGGGUGGCGAGUGGCGGACGGGUGAGGAAUACAUCGGAAUCUACUUUUUCGUGGGGGAUAACGUAGGGAAACUUACGCUAAUACCGCAUACGACCUACGGGUGAAAGCAGGGGAUCUUCGGACCUUGCGCGAUUGAAUGAGCCGAUGUCGGAUUAGCUAGUUGGCGGGGUAAAGGCCCACCAAGGCGACGAUCCGUAGCUGGUCUGAGAGGAUGGAUCGGCCACCUGGAACCUAGAACCGGGCCAGGGCCCCUAGGGGAGGCGGAAGGGGGAAAUGUUGGACAGGGGGGGAAAGCCUGACCCAGCAAUCCGCGGGGGGGAAAGAAGGCCUGCGGUUUGUAAAGCCUUUUUUUUGGGAAAAAAAAGAGGGAGGUUAACACCCCGCUUUUUGGAGGGAACCAAAAAAAAAGGCACCGCUAAAUUUGUG